AGAAUAACACUAAUGGACAUGUAAACACACAUCGAUAAAUACAAUACAAUUAGCCCUUCAGGAAACUCUGCAAGGACUCUGCAUUUCAUCUGGAGAAUAAUGGACUGGAAGACUACAUAAUCUAUCCUCUUCACAUCAACACACAAGCACUGAUAUUCCUCUGAUAUUUGCUGCUACAACCUCCCCAGCUGCAGCCACAACUUACUUUGUUGUUUCUUUACACUGAACACAUACCUUAGCUGACCUUGCUUCCUGAAAUGCAAAUUGCGCAAAUGUAAUCUUUGCUAAAUUCCUCAUAUUCCUAAACAUUUGCUCAAACUUCAUCAUUUUUGAAGACUCUGAUCACCCUACAAAUGCUACAGACAUCUACCAACUCAGCAUUCUAUUCAUUUAAUUACUCCAAUAUUGUCAUUGUUUCAAACAUCCAUAACCUUUUAAUGCAUUAUAUAAAUUAUUUAUUAUUGUAGAAAAUGAAAAUUAGCUGGACAGCAAAUAUCUACCCAAUCAAAAAAGAUUUAGAUAAAUGCAGCUGGAAAGUUAACAGGAAACACACUUCUUCCAAGGUUUGUGGCCCCUGAAAAGUGGUAACAUAACUGCCUUCUUUGAUUGACUACCUCUUUCUUUCUUUCUUUCAUCCUUUUUCCUUUCCUUUCCUUUCCCUUUCUUGCCUUCCUUCCUUUCUUUCUUUCUUUCUCUAUCAUAAAUUGUGCUUUUUGAAAUUAUGCCAGUAAGAACAACAUAUCCCACUCUUGCUUGGAUAAUCUGUCAUUUUAAAAGAGAGAAACAACGUUUAUACACAAUCUAAACUCAAAACUUCAGUUGGGAGUUUCUGAAUAAAAUA
rnacentral:lncRNA from 1 species